CCAUAACUCUGAGGUGCGAAGUGGUUCUGACCUUUUGGUACAGAGAAGUCAUUGAUGCCCGGCUUCCAGGAAAAGCUGCUAGCCAUAACUUAUAGAGAACCGUACCGCAAACCGACACAGGUGGACAGGUAGAGAAUACUAAGGCGCUUGAGAGAACUCGGGUGAAGGAACUAGGCAAAAUGGUACCGUAACUUCGGGAGAAGGUACGCCCUUUCUGGUGAUGGGAUUUACUUUCAGAGCUGGAGAGGGCCGCAGAGACCAGGUGGCUGCGACUGUUUAUUAAAAACACAGCACUCUGCAAAUUCGUAAGAAGACGUAUAGGGUGUGACGCCUGCCCGGUGCCGGAAGGUUAAUUGAUGGGGUUAUCUUCGGAGAAGCUCUUGAUCGAAGCCCCGGUAAACGGCGGCCGUAACUAUAACGGUCCUAAGGUAGCGAAAUUCCUUGUCGGGUAAGUUCCGACCUGCACGAAUGGCGUAACGAUGGCCACACUGUCUCCACCCGAGACUCAGUGAAAUUGAAAUCGCUGUGAAGAUGCAGUGUACCCGCGGCUAGACGGAAAGACCCCGUGAACCUUUACUAUAGUUUUGCACUGGACUUUGAUGAUGACUGUGUAGGAUAGGUGGGAGGCUGUGAAGUGAGGACGCUAGUUCUCAUGGAGCCGCCCUUGAAAUACCACCCUGUUGUUAUUGAGGUUCUAACUUGGUCCAGUAAUCCUGGAUGAGGACAGUGUAUGAUGGGUAGUUUGACUGGGGCGGUCUCCUCCCAAAGAGUAACGGAGGAGCACAAAGGUACCCUCGGUACGGUCGGACAUCGUACCAAGAGUGUAAAGGCAAAAGGGUGCUUGACUGCGAGAGUGACGGCUCGAGCAGGAACGAAAGUUGGUCUUAGUGAUCCGGUGGUUCUGAAUGGAAGGGCCAUCGCUCAACGGAUAAAAGGUACUCCGGGGAUAACAGGCUGAUACCGCCCAAGAGUUCAUAUCGACGGCGGUGUUUGGCACCUCGAUGUCGGCUCAUCACAUCCUGGGGCUGAAGCAGGUCCCAAGGGUAUGGCUGUUCGCCAUUUAAAGUGGUACGCGAGCUGGGUUUAGAACGUCGUGAGACAGUUCGGUCCCUAUCUGCCGUGGGCGUAGGAAAAUUGAGAGGAGCUGCUCCUAGUACGAGAGGACCGGAGUGGACGAACCUCUGGUGCACCGGUUGUCACGCCAGUGGCAUGGCCGGGUAGCUAAGUUCGGACGGGAUAACCGCUGAAAGCAUCUAAGCGGGAAGCCUCCCUCAAGAUGAGUUUUCCCAUGAAGCCCGUUGAAGACUACGACGUUGAUAGGCAAGGUGUGGAAGCGCAGUAAUGCGUGAAGCUAACUUGUACUAAUUGGCUGAUUGUCUUGACCAUAUAAUCUGAG
rnacentral:rRNA from 2 species